rnacentral:rRNA from 1 species
CGAUGCAACGCGAAGAACCUUACCUGGUCUUGACAUCCCGGAGACCCUUAGGAAACUAGGGGUGCUCCAUCUGGAAGAAUCUGGAGACAGGUGCUGCAUGGCUGUCGUCAGCUCGUGUCGUGAGAUGUUGGGUUAAGUCCCGCAACGAGCGCAACCCUUGCCUUUAGUUGCCAGCAGUUCGGCUGGGCACUCUAAAGGGACUGCCGGUGUUAAACCGGAGGAAGGUGGGGAUGACGUCAAGUCCUCAUGGCCUUUAUGACCAGGGCUACACACGUACUACAAUGGCCGAUACAAAGGGCAGCGACACUGCGAGGUGAAGCCAAUCCCGUAAAAUCGGUCUCAGUCCGGAUUGGAGUCUGCAACUCGACUCCAUGAAGUUGGAAUCGCUAGUAAUCGUGGAUCAGCAUGCCACGGUGAAUACGUUCCCGGGCCUU